rnacentral:tRNA from 1 species
GAGGGUGUAGCUCAGUGGUAGAGUGCAUGCCUAGCAUGCACAAGGUCCUGGGUUUAAUUCCCAGUACCUUUG